AAACUUUCAACAACGGAUCUCUUGGUUCUGGCAUCGAUGAAGAACGCAGCGAAAUGCGAUACGUAAUGUGAAUUGCAGACUUCAGUGAAUCAUCGAAUCUUUGAACGCACAUUGCGCCCGCCAGUAUUCUGGCGGGCAUGCCUGUUCGAGCGUCAUU
rnacentral:rRNA from 1 species